rnacentral:rRNA from 1 species
AGUGAACGCUGGCGGUAGGCCUAACACAUGCAAGUCGAACGGCAGCACAGUAAGAGCUUGCUCUUACGGGUGGCGAGUGGCGGACGGGUGAGGAAUACAUCGGAAUCUUCUUUUUCGUGGGGGAUAACGGAGGGAAACUUACGCUAGUACCGCAUACGAUCUACGGGUGAAAGCAAGGGAUCUUCGCGCUUUUGCCGUUUGUUUUAGCGGAUUCCGGGUUGGAUUAGCUAGUUGGUAAGGUAACGGCCUACCAAGGCGACGAUGCGUAGCUGAUCUGAGAGGAUGAUCAGCCACACUGGAACUGAGACACGGUCCAGACUCCUACGGGAGGCAGCAGUGGGGAAUCUUGGACAAAGGGCGCAAGCCUGAUCCAGCCAUACCGCGUGGGUGAAGAAGGCCUUCGGGUUGUAAAGCCCUUUUGUUGGGAAAGAAAAGCAGCAGGUUAAUACCCCGCUGUUCUGACGGUACCCAAAGAAUAAGCACCGGCUAACUUCGUG